rnacentral:rRNA from 1 species
AGAUUGAACGCUGGCGGCGUGCUUAACACAUGCAAGUCGAGCGGUAACGCGGGAGCAAUCCUGGCGACGAGCGGCGAACGGGUGAGUAAUGCUUGGGAAUCUGCCCAUUAGUGGGGAACAACCAGCCGAAAGGUUGGCUAAUACCGCAUACGCCCUACGGGGGAAAGCGGGGGAUCGUAAGACCUCGCGCUAAUGGAUGAGCCCAAGUCGGAUUAGCUUGUUGGUAGGGUAACGGCCUACCAAGGCGACAAUCCGUAGCUGGUCUGAGAGGACGACCAGCCACACUGGGACUGAGACACGGCCCAGACUCCUACGGGAGGCAGCAGUGGGGAAUAUUGGACAAUGGGGGAAACCCUGAUCCAGCGACGCCGCGUGUGUGAAGAAGGCCUGCGGGUUGUAAAGCACUUUUAGUGGGACAAAAGCCAUUGAUUAAUACUUGGUGGUCUUGAUUUAACCCAAGAAAAGCACCGGCUAACUCUGUGCCAGCAGCCGC